rnacentral:rRNA from 1 species
UACGUAGGGGGCGAGCGUUGUCCGGAAUUACUGGGCGUAAAGGGUGCGUAGGCGGUUCUUUAAGUUGGAUGUGAAAUACCCGGGCUUAACCUGGGGGGUGCAUUCAAGACUGGGGAACUAGAGUUCAGGAGAGGGAAGCGGAAUUCCUAGUGUAGCGGUGAAAUGCGUAGAUAUUAGGAGGAACACCAGUGGCGAAGGCGGCUUUCUGGACUGACACUGACGCUGAGGCACGAAAGCGUGGGGAGCAAACAGGAUUAGAUACCCUGGUAGUCCACGCGGUAAACGAUGAAUACUAGGUGUAGGGGGUAUCAACUCCCUCGGUGCCGCAGCAAACGCAAUAAGUAUUCCGCCUGGGGAGUACGGCCGCAAGGUUGAA